AUGGGGAAAGGCAGUAGAGAUGAUAUGCUCAGCGCAUUGCCUGACGACAUUCUGGUCAACAUUCUUGACCGACUCAAUGUCCCUGAGGCUGCAAGAACCAGCAUCCUGGCCAGACGGUGGGGUCAGCUUUGCGGCAAGCUGUCUCGGCUUAUAAUAAGCGUGCAGGACUUCCUCCCCGAGGGUGUGUUACACAGCAACGUCUCUGUUGAUGAAUUGGUCCGGACCAAUGCGGCUGUGGUCCAAGCGACAGAGAGCAUACUAGCACGCAGAAAUCCAGGUGAACACACCAUCCGCCUACUAUCUACGACAUUCUACUUGAGAGAUGAUGCCCCCCUAUCCAUCGGACGUGCUGUUGGUCAUGCCAUGGCGACGCACUUGGUUGAGGUUGCCAAAUUCAGUGUUAGGACAGGGACGGAUGACAUUGCUGAAAUAGACGAUGAUGAACUUGUCACCUGUGGGAGAAAAUUCAUGGUGUUCUUUGAUGCUUGUUCAAAUGCAUUUGGUGGUCUCACUAGCCUUGAACUACAGAAUUUGAGAUUUGGUGAAUCGGACAUAUCCAGCAUCCUAGUCUCCUGCAAGCGGUUGAAGCAUCUGCACUUGUACAAUUGUGACUCUGGUGAACACAGCACGCUCCAAGUUGAACAUGCUCAUCUCAAUGAGCUUUGUAUCACCCAGUGUCGUCUCACACAUGUUAAGCUGAGCUGGCUCCCUCAACUCACACUGUUGGUCUUUGAUGGUUGGAUAGAUUUUGAUGAUCCACUAUUUAUUGGUCAUGUCCCAUUGCUCACGUCUGUAAGCCUCACAAACGUUGCCCUUAGUUUCAACAAAAUGUUCAAGUUAAGUGAGUUUCUUAGCAGUACCUCUGUACAAAAUCUGAAGUUGGGAUUUAGAUCCGAAAAGAUUUGGGUUCAGCCAGAAUGCCCAACUCAAAGUCUGGCAUCUGUCUUUUGCCAGCUAAGAUUUGUGAAUCUGGUUAAUCUUCCUGAAGGGUAUGAUCUCACCUGGACAAUGUUUAUUCUUGAAGCUGCACCCUUACUGAAGGAUCUAUACAUCACAGUAUGGGAUCAUGCGUGUUCAAUGGAGAUGGAUGAGGAGAAGAGGAAAAAAGAAUUAUAUAGUGAGGACAAGGGUGUAGAGUGGGACUCGGCCACAGCUGAUUUCCAACACCGCAGUUUGGUUACACUUGUCAUCUGUGGCUUUGAAUCUGAAGAUUACUUUGUGAAUUAUGUCAGACGUGUUAUGGCAGCGGCCGUGAAUCUAGAGGAUGUGUUCCUGUAUAGUAGGUUGUUGUGUGCUAACUGCAAAGACGAAAAGCAGGUCAGGUUCCCCUGGACUAAAAGGCAGAGGAUUUCAUUGAAGAAGAGAAUAACUGUGGGGAUUGAGUCCUUUGCCAUAAUUCACUCCAACAAGAUGGUAAGGGAAGAUCAUCAAGCAAAGAUUCUGUACCCGGAGUGCUCACGGUUUGACACAAGUUGCUGA
rnacentral:rRNA from 1 species